GCAGUUAGAUUAAUGAUGGAAUCAUUACUCGAGAAUCGUGCACAUAAAUUGAGGGCAAUCAACGUAUUUAUGGCGAUAAAGUGCAAAAGCAAUAAUGUCGAUAAGUCAUUAGAGAUUGUAACUUGGAACAAUUCGUCUGGCGUUCCGGAAGUCAUGAAAGUCGUUAGUCGAACAUUUUGCGCUAUGACGUGCUGGCAGGUAAUUUUAAUAUUAAGUGCCUUAGGUCAUGCAGCACCGCGAAGCCUGGAGGUUUACCAACAUGAUGAAGAAAAAGUGGCCCAGGGUGUAAUCGAGGGGCUGGAUAGGGAGUACACGCUGAAAAAGCGUCAGGAAGCACUGGUUACGUACUUCUACAACGUUGACAUCAGUGAUGACAACUUGCACCGGAUGGUGGCCGCCGUAAUGGAGACCAGCCUUUUUUUGGGUAAAACCAAACGACAGUUGGAGGACUUCAGAUGGCAGGAUUUUAGAAAUGAGACGCUAAAACGGCUUUUUUAUAAAAUGAAUAGUAACGUUGGCAGCGCUGUUUUACCUGAGCACAAACUUGGUUCGUAUCUGAAUCUUCUGGUUAAUCUGAAGAAACGAUAUUCCAAUGCGGUUGUGUGCAGAUACAAUGAUGAUACUGAUUGUACAGUGACGUUAUCGGAUAUUUCAAAUAUUAUGGCUACCUCGAGGGAUCAGGCGGAAUUACUUUAUUACUGGAAAAUAUGGCGAAAUGCAACGGGUGCACCGGUUUUGGAAGAAAUGCAUCAACUUUUCGAAAUCAAUAACGAAAUUGCUAAUUUACUAAAUUUUUCUAACGCUGCCGAUAUGUGGAUUAGCCAGUACGAAUCAAAUACGUUCGAAAGUGACAUUAUGAACCUUUGGUCUGAUAUCAAACCUCUGUACACACAAUUGCACGCUUAUGUACGAAGGAAAUUGCGAAAGAUUUAUGGCGGUAAAACUAUAACCGAGGAUGGCACAAUACCUGCCCAUUUGUUAGGAAAUAUGUGGGGACAAAAGUGGCUGGUAUAUAAAUUAACAGCACCUUAUCCACUCAACAAUUAUCCAAACGUGACGGAUAGACUAUUGAAAAAGAAUUUUACGGUUAAAUGCAUGGCUCAGGUUGCGGAAGAAUUUUUUCAAAAUCUCAACCAAGUGAGUCUCAGUUCAAGAUUUUGGGAAAAAAGUAUUCUGGAAAAACCAGAAGACAGAGAGAUUUCAUGUCAGGCCUCAGCAUGGGAUUUAUUCACUGGAAAAGAUUAUCGAUUAAAAAUGUGUCUGACUGUCAAUGCCGCUAAUUUUUUGAGUCUUCAUCACGAAAUGGCCCAUAUACAUUAUUUUAUGGAGUAUCGACAACAACCGACACUAUUUCACGAAGAACUCAAUCCAGGAUUUUCGGAGGCUGUGGGAGAUGCAGUUGUUUUGGCAGCUGGUACAAACAGACACCUGCAGAGCAUAGGUUUACUGACCAGGCACGUCGAGGUCAGAGAAGCAAUGAUAAAUUACUUAUUCAAUAUCGCACUAAACAAAAUCACUGAGCUGCCAUACGCCCUCAUUAUGGAUUUGCAUCGAUGGAAUAUAUUCAGGAACGCUUAUAACUUGGACAACUAUAAUUGCGAAUGGUGGAAACUGAGAGAAAAAUUCCAAGGUAUCAGUUCACCUGUGAAACGCAGUAAUUUAGAUUUUGAUCCAGCAUCCAAGCAUCAUGUUAUUGCGAACAAACCAUACAUCAGUUACUUCGUGAGCAUCAUUCAACAAUUUCAACUCUACAAAACAUUAUGCAUCAAGGCUAAUCAGUACGAUCCACAAGAUCCAAUGGAUCCUCAUAAGCUAUUACACAACUGUGAUUUCUCCUCUAGUAUUUACGCUGGAAAAUAUCUCAAAGAACUCUUAGGAUAUGGCAGUUCCCAGCCUUGGCAUCGUAUCAUGAAAAUAUUCACAGGCGAUAAAAAACUCUCGGCAAAGCCACUGCUAGAAUUUUUCCGUCCUCUCCAAGAUUAUCUCGAGCAAGAGAAUCGCAGAGCUGGCGAAUUUAUUGGCUGGCAUGAAUCGCGUAACCUGUGCCGACACUCGUCCAUGCAUAAGAGGAAAUAAUCGAACUGGAAUCAUUGCUGACUCUGCGAGCAGAGUAAAAUGCGUAGAAUUCUCACAUGUGCUAGAAGGAUUACCAUGUUACAUAUUUUCACAUUUGUCUUUUCGAUUUUCCUCUAUGCACGUGCUCACUUUAUCUUCUUGUCCUUUCUGCACACGCAAUCGAGCGAAUGCAUAUCUUGACAAUGGGCCUCAUUGAGCCUAUCAUCGUGGGAAUAGGUGUCGCAAGUUGCGUCCUCCUAGUCGGACUAACAACGCCUCAUUUUUCCCCCUUUUAUGCCCUCGCAGUUACGU